UCUAGGAGAUUGCGGCUGUCUGCCUGGCGUUUGGCCCCAUCCGCAUCACCCCGCCCUGAACGAUUAUCUCUAACACCAAAAAUCCAGAGAAGUUACCCUCAACCCAGACGGCCAUUAUAUGCAUGGAGAUAUGAUUCCGACUCCUGCAACUCCUGAAUCCAUGACGUUAGCAACUCCAGAAGGACCGUACAUUACAACUGGGCUACACCCACGUUCCUUGGCAGCACACGGAUUCACAACAACAUUCUCACAUAAUCACCCGCGCGCCGAACUUACAGGAGAAGCAUGGUGACACCACGUGAUGAGUAACACUGAAAGCUUUACACAUCCCCAUCAUAAUCAUCACCAUCAUCAACAACUACUACAACAACAACAACAACAACAGCUGCAGCAGCAACAUCAACAACAACUACCACCACAUCAACAACAUAACCAAAAGCAACAAUUACUUUUAGUACAACAACUACUGCAACUCCGACAAGAAAGGAUGAAAGAAAAAAACAACAACGCUCUCACAUAUAAAUAAUAUUGGUUGUGACAAGACAUGACACUUCCAAUAGUACAUAAAUCUUUAUUGAAAAAUGAAAAAUAUAUUUAAA